AGAGCUCCUCUUGCUGCUAUGUUGCUGAUUGGAAGGCAACAGUUGUUUGUCUCAUAUUUUAUGAGAAAAAAGAAAAUUUUUGGUCCUUCUUCUCUCCGGCAUUCUCUUUCCUCAUGUUGAGCUUUCACUGACAUGCUCACUUUGACUAAAUCAAACUUGUGCAUGGUGUUCUUAAUUGCUAAGAGCAUUGGAUACAAGGGGCAUAUCAUCAUGUCAAUCGCCACAUCAUAGACAACCUAAAAUUUGAAUUAAGAUGUCCCUUGUUCACUCCUGGUGCAAAUGAUGAAGAUUUUGUCUGCUCAAUACUCCUAUUAAGUUUCUUCUUCCAGGUAUUUAAACUAAAGGUGGGAGAAGAAGAGCACGACAUUUGGCGAGUCUCAUUAAUAGACUAUACUCGAAGAUGAGAUUGUGAGUCCAAUCCUAAUGGUCAGACCAGACCUGCAGUUUUGCGAGAUGUUCUUCAUCAUUGUUCCAGUUUGCAGUUGUAUUAUUUCAUGCUGUUGCCUGAACAGGCAUGAUUACACAAGGUUGAGAAUAUUUGGUAGCAUUUGCAAAUAUUUUUUCACCUUCUGAUGUACAGUAAUUUUCCUUUUGCAUUUGCACGCUGGGCAGAAAUGGGGAAUAAUAUGAAAUCCUACUACGCAU